rnacentral:rRNA from 1 species
UGCCCUAGUAACGGCGAGUGAAGCGGCAACAGCUCAAAUUUGAAAUCUGGCUCUCGGGCCCGAGUUGUAAUUUGUAGAGGAUACUUUUGAUGCGGUGCCUUCCGAGUUCCCUGGAACGGGACGCCAUAGAGGGUGAGAGCCCCGUCUGGUUGGAUGCCAAAUCUCUGUAAAGUUCCUUCGACGAGUCGAGUAGUUUGGGAAUGCUGCUCUAAAUGGGAGGUAUAUGUCUUCUAAAGCUAAAUACCGGCCAGAGACCGAUAGCGCACAAGUAGAGUGAUCGAAAGAUGAAAAGCACUUUGAAAAGAGAGUUAAAAAGUACGUGAAAUUGUUGAAAGGGAAGCGUUUAUGACCAGACUUGGGCUUGGUUAAUCAUCUGGGGUUCUCCCCAGUGCACUUUUCCAGUCCAGGCCAGCAUCAGUUUUCCCCGGGGGAUAAAGACUUCAGGAAUGUGGCUCUCUUCGGGGAGUGUUAUAGCCUGUUGUGUAAUACCCUGGGGGGGACUGAGGUUCGCGCAUCUGCAAGGAUGCUGGCGUAAUGGUCAUCAACGACCCGUCUUGAAACACGGACCAAGGAGUCGUCUUCGUAUGCGAGUGUUCGGGUGUCAAACCCCUACGCGUAAUGAAAGUGAACGCAGGUGAGAGCUUCGGCGCAUCAUCGACCGAUCCUGAUGUUCUCGGAUGGAUUUGAGUAAGAGCAUACGGGGCCGGACCCGAAAGAAGGUGAACUAUGCCUGUAUAGGGUGAAGCCAGAGGAAACUCUGGUGGAGGCUCGCAGCGGUUCUGACGUGCAAAUCGAUCGUCAAA